AGGAUAUUGAGUAUAUGGGGAUGCUUAUCCGACAUUCAAUGUCACAGGCGUGAGAAAAACAAAAGGGGAAAAGAUUUUCCCCUUUUAUAUACUAA
rnacentral:sRNA from 1 species